CAUCGAGGCCAGGACACGCGACCCGUGACAGUGUCGAAUUAACCAAAAAAAACCCAAGUGCCAAGUGCCGAGUGAAGAGGCCACAAAAACAACUGACUAACUAACUAACUGCCUCCAGAAACUGUGCGAUUUAAGACCAAAAACAGAAACAUAACUACCAGUGCAUCAGUGCCCGGGAAAAACCUUAAAGCAAACAGCCAGCGAAGUGAAUUAACCAUAAACCAAAGCCCCUAAAAUAAACCGAAGCAGGGCGAAAAAGCGAAAUUUAAACGUCUGUGCAUAUUAAUCAGAACGAGAAACGUGAAACGUGAACAGGAUCAAGUCCUAGACAACUUAUCACAGAGGAUUUACGUGGCACCAGACAGACAGACAGACGCAGGACACGAAUGCGAGUGUGGAGCAGAAGGCGGCGCUAAUCAACGGCCAAAGCAGACGACAACCACGCCCACAGCCCCCUCUUUUCGAACAGAAAAAUAACAAAAAAAAGAAAAGCGAGGAAAAACCAGGAAAACCCGGGAGCUGGAGAGCAGGAGCCGCCUCAUUUGGCCACUGCGGAUUAUGUUAAUUAGAUUUUAAGCACGCGACGACAACGACGCCAGGGGAGCACUUGGCAUUGUAAUGUGACAACAGUUGGCUAAAAACAACAGCAGGACCAAAACCAGGGGCGUCAGGAGUAGCAGGAAUGCUCGCUUUUUAAUUGACAUUUGCUCGAGUUGAGUUGCGUUUUGUUCAACAGCAAUUAGCAUUACGGAGGGGAAAAAACACAACAACAAAAAAAACACUCCGAACAAAACACAAAGGAGCGCAAUUAAAA